UUAAAUUGAAGAGUUUGAUCAUGGCUCAGAUUGAACGCUGGCGGCAGGCCUAACACAUGCAAGUCGAACGGUAACAGGAAGCAGCUUGCUGCUUUGCUGACGAGUGGCGGACGGGUGAGUAAUGUCUGGGAAA
rnacentral:rRNA from 12 species